ACAUGCAAGUCGAACGGCAGCGCGGGAGCAAUCCUGGCGGCGAGUGGCGAACGGGUGAGUAAUAUAUCGGAACGUGCCCAGUAGUGGGGGAUAGCCCGGCGAAAGCCGGAUUAAUACCGCAUACGACCUGAGGGUGAAAGCGGGGGAUCGCAAGACCUCGCGCUACUGGAGCGGCCGAUAUCAGAUUAGCUAGUUGGUGGGGUAAAGGCCUACCAAGGCAACGAUCUGUAGUUGGUCUGAGAGGACGACCAGCCACACUGGGACUGAGACACGGCCCAGACUCCUACGGGAGGCAGCAGUGGGGAAUUUUGGACAAUGGGCGCAAGCCUGAUCCAGCAAUGCCGCGUGCAGGAAGAAGGCCUUCGGGUUGUAAACUGCUUUUGUCAGGGAAGAAAUCUUCUGGGCUAAUACCCCGGGAGGAUGACGGUACCUGAAGAAUAAGCACCGGCUAACUACGUGCCAGCAGCCGCGGUAAUACGUAGGGUGCGAGCGUUAAUCGGAAUUACUGGGCGUAAAGCGUGCGCAGGCGGCUUUGCAAGACAGAGGUGAAAUCCCCGGGCUCAACCUGGGAACUGCCUUUGUGACUGCAAGGCUAGAGUACGGCAGAGGGGGAUGGAUUCCGCGUGUAGCAGUGAAAUGCGUAGAUAUGCGGAGGAACACCGAUGGCGAAGGCAAUCCCCUGGGCCUGUACU
rnacentral:rRNA from 1 species